AAAUGGCACUCUACUGGUCAAUAUAUUGACAAACGUGUCGUUUAGCGUGUCUUUCGAGGAGGAAGUCACUCUAGUAAAGCUUAGUACAGGAAGUGAAGCACUUCCAUUUGACCUGCCAGAUACCUACAAAGUGAUUUCUGUUGAGGAAAGAUGUGCAGUGCU
rnacentral:lncRNA from 1 species